rnacentral:lncRNA from 1 species
UGUGGCUGAAGGCAAACAGUAAUUGCCCGGUUUAAUGGAAGAUGGUUAAGCGUAUUCGAUGCUCACACAUCAAUCCCUGGCUUCCCAGUGUCCCUCAGCAAACAUCCCCUUCUCCUGAUGCAAAAUAACCUCUCUUCUAUUGUUAUUAUCCCACAUGGUUCUAUUUCAGUGCUCAUGGCAUUGAGCAAAUUCACUCCAAGGUAUGAGAGUACUUGCAGGUGAAACAUUUUUUGUUAUAUCCACAGCGCUGAAGCUGAUGAUGUGAGGCAAAUCCUCUCCGAAACUACAUUCCCCUGGACUCUUUCCUUUACCUGGCACACCACUGGAAAAAAGAAGAGGAACCCAUGUUUCAAACCAA